UUGAUCAAGAAUUUUAAAAGAUUUAAGUUGUCGAAUAAUGAAAAUUUUAUUGCAAAUAAUGUUCAAAAAAUGACUGAUAACACAAUAGAUUAAUGCAUAUCUACCUUAUCAUUGGCGGAUUGAUAGUGCGUUCUUAUGCCAUCUUUAUCCAGAGCAAGUCAUCGUCAUAACGAAAUGAUUGUAUUCCUUUCUGGACAUGCCAUUGUCUCAAACAAUAGACGAUCCAAAUCGACGAGUUGUCUACUGAGUUAGAUUUCAACUCUAGUUUUGGCAUGGAUAAUCCUGAUUCCUUCUUGAACAUUUGCACGUUCUAAAUCAUAGAAUUUGUUUAAUAACGAUUUGGAUAUAAGACAGAACGAAUUAAUCGUGUUAUAAGAAGG